rnacentral:rRNA from 1 species
UACGGAGGGUGCAAGCGUUGUUCGGAAUUACUGGGCGUAAAGGGCGCGUAGGUGGUUGUGUAAGUCAGAUGUGAAAUCCCGAGGCUCAACUUCGGAACUGCAUCUGAAACUGCAUGACUCGAGUACAGCAGAGGGAAACGGAAUUCCUGGUGUAGAGGUGAAAUUCGUAGAUAUCAGGAGGAACACCGGUGGCGAAGGCGGUUUCCUGGGCUGAUGCUGACACUGAGGCGCGAAAGCGUGGGGAGCAAACAGG